CGAUAGCUUCUAGUAUAAUAAUUUCCUGUUUCGAUUGCAUUAUUGGUUUACGGAGAAAUGGACUCUAAGAAACUGGCUGAUGUUAAAGAAAUUAAAAAUACAACGAAGUUCAUUUUGAAUCGACUUAACACAUUAACAGGUUGUGGAGAGGGCUGCACGUGUGGCCUAGAACUCGAAGAUCUCAAGAA